rnacentral:ncRNA from 2 species
CCUUUCCUUCGGGGAUCGGCGAAAUUCCGUACCGGCGGUGUAGGCGAAGAGCCUGUAGCCCGCGAGCCUUCGGGCAGGAUCCGGUGAGAGUCCGGAGCCGACAGUGAAAGUCUGGAUGGGAGAAGGAAGGA